rnacentral:tRNA from 1 species
UCGGAUAUGGUGUAAUGGUUAACAUUACCGCCUCUCAUAAUGAUGCAGCAUCGCGGUAGCUCGGGGUUCGAUUCCCCGUAUCCGAA